UAUUCCCAUCAGUGCCUUUGGCAUCUGCUGUUGGUCCCUCCUGGAUGAAAACAAUGAGACUCCCUCAGAAGUAGCACAGAAUACAUCUGAAGUAGCAUACAAGACCUGAAAUGAGCUGCGCUGCACUAGAUCUACGCUGUCUACAGGACUGUUCAUCUUUUCAUUGAAUCUGGGAUAGGAAGCACCAGCAACCUACCAGUGCCUCCCACUGACCACUUCCCCAGGUCUUCAUGCUGUCAGAUUCUUGAUACUGCAACUUCCAAGCAACAGCCAAUUGGAUUAAUGAGACCAAAAAUACACAGUGCAAGUUUCCUGUGUUAAUGCAGUGGGGAGAUUCUCCUUUCAAGAAUCGACUUCUUACCUUCUCCAAGGACAAAGCUGCAAAGAUACGGGAUUGAAGAAUAAGAAGCAAAGAUCCAAGUAGCUGAAAAUUGCAACAAGGUAAAAUUUGAACUUACUUUAUAUCAAAAGAGUUGGAUUGUUU